rnacentral:piRNA from 1 species
CUGCAAGGUGUUAGCUGAU